GACGAACGCUGGCGGCGUGCCUAACACAUGCAAGUCGAGCGGUAAGGCCCUUCGGGGUACACGAGCGGCGAACGGGUGAGUAACACGUGGGCAACCUGCCCUGCACACUGGGAUAAGCCUGGGAAACUAGGUCUAAUACCGGAUACGACCUCGCGCGGCAUCACGCGAGGUGGAAAGCUCCGGCGGUGCAGGAUGGGCCCGCGGCCUAUCAGCUUGUUGGUGGGGUAACGGCCUACCAAGGCGACGACGGGUAGCCGGCCUGAGAGGGCGACCGGCC
rnacentral:rRNA from 1 species